rnacentral:rRNA from 1 species
UACGGAAGGCAGCAGUGGGGAAUAUUGCACAAUGGGCGCAAGCCUGAUGCAGCCAUGCCGCGUGUAUGAAGAAGGCCUUCGGGUUGUAAAGUACUUUCAGUCGUGAGGAAGGUGUUAAGGUUAAUAACCUUAGCAAUUGACGUUAGCGACAGAAGAAGCACCGGCUAACUCCGUGCCAGCAGCCGCGGUAAUACGGAGGGUGCGAGCGUUAAUCGGAAUUACUGGGCGUAAAGGGCACGCAGGCGGUUAAUAAGUUGGAUGUGAAAUCCCCGGGCUUAACCUGGGAAUGGCAUUCAAGACUGGUUAGCUAGAGUCUUGUAGAGGGGGUAGAAUUCCAUGUGUAGCGGUGAAAUGCGUAGAGAUGUGGAGGAAUACCGGUGGCGAAGGCGGCCCCUGGACAAGACUGACGCUCAUGUGCGAAAGCGUGGGGAGCAAACGAGGAUUAGAUACC